AACGAACGCUGGCGGCAGGCUUAACACAUGCAAGUCGAGCGGACCCUUCGGGGUCAGCGGCGGACGGGUGAGUAACGCGUGGGAACGUGCCCUCUUCUUCGGAAUAGCCUCGGGAAACUGGGAGUAAUGCCGAAUACGCCCCUUCGGGGGGAAAGAUUUAUCGGAGGAGGAUCGGCCCGCGUUGGAUUAGGUAGUUGGUGGGGUAAUGGCCUACCAAGCCGACGAUCCAUAGCUGGUUUGAGAGGAUGAUCAGCCACACUGGGACUGAGACACGGCCCAGACACCUACGGGUGGCUG
rnacentral:rRNA from 1 species